rnacentral:lncRNA from 1 species
AGUCAGCGUAGCAUCCAUUUAGCAACAAGAGACAGAAAGUUUAAUAAAGCAGAAGCAUUUUAAUAAACUCAGGUAUGAUUUAAAUAGAGGCCUCUGGCACUGGCAGCUGCUGAGUUCUUUAAGUGGAAUACAGUAUACUCAAAUUCCUUCUCUCCGAGGAGAUUGGAAAGGAAUCCUUUUUUAAAAUCUCUUUUUAAAAUCCUAAGGAAUUAAUGCAAGCUCCAGGAGAGUAGAGACUGCAUCAUUUUCUUGUAUUGUGUCCUCAGCACUUCCUACAAUGCCUGGCACAUGGAGAUCAGCUAGUAUUUAUUCUUGUGGUCUUUUUCACCCCUAAAGUGACUGAACAAGAAAUGAUCAAAAAGGAAAAGAUAAAAAAGGAUUUAAAUUAUCAAAAAGAUAUAUGAUGAAAAAGUAGGGCUAUCC